GACGAACGCUGGCGGCGUGCUUAACACAUGCCAGUCGAACGGAAAGGCCCUGCUUUUGUGGGGUGCUCGAGUGGCGAACGGGUGAGUAACACGUGAGUAGCCUGCCCUUGACUUUGGGAUAACUUCAGGAAACUGGGGCUAAUACCGGAUAGGAGCUCCUGCUGCAUGGUGGGGGUUGGAAAGUUUCGGCGGUUGGGGAUGGACUCGCGGCUUAUCAGCUUGUUGGUGGGGUAGUGGCUUACCAAGGCUUUGACGGGUAGCCGGCCCGAGAGGGUGACCGGCCACAUUGGGACUGAGAUACGGCCCAGACUCCUACGGGAGGCAGCAGUGGGGAAUAUUGCACAAUGGGCGGAAGCCUGAUGCAGCAACGCCGCGUGCGGGAUGACGGCCUUCGGGUUGUAAACCGCUUUCGCCUGUGACGAAGCGUGAGUGACGGUAAUGGGUAAAGAAGCACCGGCUAACUACGUG
rnacentral:rRNA from 1 species